ACUGAAGUGGUCAUCGUGCAUACUGUUUCCUGCUCCGAAAGGAGUGGGUAACCGCUUGAACCCAUUUCGUGAUGGGGAUUGGGCAUUGUAAUUAUUGCCCAUGAAC
rnacentral:ncRNA from 1 species